rnacentral:misc_RNA from 1 species
GGAAGGAUCAUUCGAAAACAAAAUCCACAUAUCGCAAUGAAGUUACCCAGCUUACAUCUUCACGCGCAUGCCAUAAUUCUUUUUUUGGCUCAGCGGUGGAUAUCUAAGUUCCAUGAGCGUAGAAGAUCGUAGCAAAUUGUGUUAAGCAACUUGAAUUGCAGACUUCUGUGAGUGCCAGUAUGUUGAACGUGUAUUGCUCUCACUGCUUGCACAGUGUGAAUUCUUGUGUCAAAGCUUCCUGACCGUACUAGGCUGUGUUCUCCAGGGUAUUCUAUUGCAUCUACCUCUCCUUGAAUGCAGCGAGUAAAUGUGUGUUUCCUACUGCUUGAACUUACGGUGGUGUCUACACAACGAACUCGUAAGUUGUUCUACUUGCGUAGCUUGCUUCAAGUUAGACUACCUGCUGAACUUAAGCAUAUCAUUCAGUAGAGGAAAAGAAAUUAACAAAGAUACCCUCAGUAGUGGCGAACGAAUAGGGUCCAGAUCAAUGUGACAAACAUAGCUUUGAACGUUAUGACUUGUAGUCUUCAGACCGUACCCAGUAGAAUAGUGACUCUGUGUUUCUUGGAAGAGAGCUCCUCAGAGAGUGACAGUCUCGUCUUGUUACAAUACUUUCUACGAAAUGGUGCGGAGCAUUGGAGUCGCACUUCUUUGACACGAAGUGUAAAACAGAAGGUAGUUCUCUUCGAAAUCUACGUAUGUGUUGGAGUCUGAUAGAUCACAAGUACCGUAAGGGACAUGUGAAAAGUACUUUGGAAAGAGAGUCACAAUACCUUGAACUCGCUGAACUGAAACCGAAUCAAUUGCAACAACGUAAAACCUCGCAGGAUGCUGCUCUUGCUGAGCAAACUUCGGUUUGCAACGUGCAGUAUACUUGGGAGACUUUUUUACUGAUGGUAAGAUGGUUGUUCUGGAACACAAUAUGAGUCUGUUAAACCACCUCACUUGGGACAAGGGAAACUAACGGAAACAUUUGAUGUACAACAUCCACUCUGUUACAAUAGCUGAACUGUAGAGGACUUUGAGAAGAUGCUUGUCAAUGCAGUUGUCCGACCCGUCUUGAAACACGGACCAAGGAGUCUACUAUGUGUGCAAGUAGUGUUUGAAAACAUCAUGACUGCGAAAAAAACAUAAGUGUUCAUCCAAUGUAACCUUUUGCUUGUGUGCUGCAAAUUGGAGUUGGAGCGCACCUGUUAGGACCCGAAAGAUGGUGAACUAUGCUUGGGUAAGGUGAAGCCAGAGGAAACUCUGGUGAAGGCUUGUUUCGAUACUGACGUGCAAAUCGUUCAUUCGACCUAAGUAUAGGGGCGAAAGACUCAUCGAACCAUCUCGUAGCUGGUUCUCUC